UCUUAUUCUCGUCAUGUCAUCUCUUGAUGCAUGCUUGUUUGUUUAUUUGGACGCAGAUAAAUAGUUUCCCUGAGCUAUAAAUAUAAAACUUUGUGGAGCUAAAAUAGACAGACCCAAAGCACCCGACAUGUGACUGAUAAGUAUGGUUUGAUCAGGGAUUGUUUCUUUACAUCCUUCGGUACAAUAUUACUGUUAAGCUUCUACAGGCAGUAUACAUCAUCCACAGAGAAACAUGAGAUGGUGCGUAUUAUAUCAUACAAAAAGAAAAGGUGCUAAUUAAGAUGGUUCAGCAAAUGGCUGACUGUAAUUUGAGAAAUAAUGUCCAGAAACUCGGAAAGAAGCAUGGAAAAAUUUGCUCUUUAUUGGCACACCAAACAUCGUGGGUGUGAAAGAUUGUCACCUUAGUAGUAUAAAAAAUGUGAUUUGAAGAAACACUUUUUUUUUUUUUCCUUUUUUUUUUUUAUACCUAUAAUGAAUUUCAAGGUAAAAUGGACUUGUGAGCAGCAGAACUUCAAAAGAUAAUUAAAGACAUUGGGUGUGUCGAUAUUCCAAGUUGAGAAAUGUUUUAGUUACAAAGAAGUUAUAUAAAAAUAAAUUUACAAAUUGACAUGGUUUGAUAUGGUAUUUUAACUUAUAAAAUUACUUUUAUUGUAAAUAGAUUUAAUGUACCUCAUCAAGUCACGUUAGUUUGUAAGUAUAUUUUUAUUUGACCUCUUUGUAAAUGUAGCACUUCUCUUCUAAGUUAGGUUGGACAUUGGACGACAACGCAUCGUUGGGCUACAUAAGAAUGGGAUGGUUUGGCCAAGUUCAUGGCAUGAAGGGUGCAAACUGAGAUGAGGAAAGGGAUGUUGUGUAGAUAGAACAAUGAAGAUGAAUUAUGGGUGAGUGGGAGCGUAGUGUAAGUUGAGUGAGAGAUUUUGAGUUGGGCUAGGGGCAAUUGAUAAGAGGGAAAUUUGGAGAAUGGUCUGAUCAAUGUUGAUAUGAGUGGUUUCUUGGUUUGGUGGAAAGAACUAUCACUAUGUUAGUGACUGCGCAUGAGAUUUAAACAACUUUCUUU